CUCCCGGGCCUUGUACACACCGCCCGUCACACCACGAAAGGUCGGCGUAAUACCGAAGCCGGUGGCCUAACCGUAAGGGAGGGAGCCGUCGAAGGUAGGGUCGAUGAUUGGGGUG
rnacentral:rRNA from 1 species